rnacentral:rRNA from 1 species
AAUAUUGCACAAUGGAUGGAACUCUGACGCAGCGACGCCUCGUGAGCGAUGAAGGCCUUCUGGUCGUAAAGCUCUGCCUUAUGGGACGAUAAUGACGGCACCAUAGGAGGAAGCCCCGGCUACCUACGUGCCAGCAGCCUCGGUAAUACGUAGGGGGCGAGCGAUGUCCGGAAUUACUGGGCGUAAAGGGUACGCAGGCGGCCAUGUAAGUCAAAUGUGAAAGGUGAGGGCUCAACCGUGGUAAGCAUUUGAAACUGUGUGGCUUGAGUUAAGGAGAGGAAAGUGGAAUUCCUGGUGUAGCGGUGAAAUGCGUAGAUAUCAGGAGGAAUACCAGUGGCGAAGGCGACUUUCUGGACUUAAACUGACGCUGGGGUACGAAAGCGUGGGGAGCAAACA